GCUGGGUGUGGUGGUGCCUGCCUGUAAUCCCAGCUACUCCGGAGGCUGAGGCAGGAGAAUCAUUUGAACCUGGGAGGCUGGGUUGCAGUGAGCUGAGAUCGCGCCACUGCACUCCAGCCUGGGUGACAGAGAGAGACUCUGUCUCAA
rnacentral:SRP_RNA from 1 species